ACACAACCCUUCAUCUCUAGCAAAAAUGGAGAGGGGCAAUUUUCAAUUCUCUCAAAUAUGCAACACCAGAUUAACUGCCGACUACUCAAAUAUGCAUGGUUAAUUAUGUAAGAGGUAACAAUGCAAUUGUUGAGACCUUGGAUUCAGACGGGUGGUUAAAGAUGGUGAUCUUAUUAUUGUUGACGGCGAGGGGUUCAUGUAUAGAUUGCACGUGACGUCUUCCGUAAUUUUCCUUCAACUUAUUGAAUCACUACUUAUGAUCCUGCAGUGAUUCAAUAGCUAUUUUCUCUAGCAUCUUGGUUGCUACCUUUAGCCGAUCCUUUCUUUUCAGGCCUCUUAACACUUUUCUUUUUUCAUUAAUUUUGUUUGUGUCAGCCAUGAAUAGAUCGACAUUUUUUAAUUAAUUAUGAUGUCUGCAGGUUAUGUAGGAUAUGACAAGGGAACAGCUAAGCCCUUGGAUAAAGACACAGGUGGUACUGGUGAUAUUUGUUCUUUUGACGAUGAGGGGCUCAUGUAACAUUGUGGGCAUGUUCGUAGAAAAAACACCAGGCUUAUCAGGAGUACAGUAGGGAGUUUGCUUGGACCACCAGAGCAAAAUCAAACACAAAUGAUACAUAUUAUUAUCAAUCAGGUGAUGGUAAGGUGAAGAUUGGGGAUUUUAGUAUCAGCCAGGUUUUUGAGGAAUGUACAGCUUCAGAGUAUUCCUACUAGAGAUGAUGGUAAACAGGAUGCCACAAGAAGAGUUUGAGAGAGGCGGGCCGAUUGAUCUCAAGAAAAUUGGAAAUUCGAACAAGAAAACAUACCUGGGUUAUGACUAAAACAGAAGUAGGAGGACUCCAUAAAUAUAAAGGUCUUGAAGAUUUGGAAUUCAUAAAGGAUAUUCAAACCAGUUUACUAUCCAUGAAUUGCAAAGCAACAAUUGCUUAAUAGACCAGGUCAGGUGGCUUUCACUAUGAAGUUUAGUAUAGAGGAGCUGCUGCCAACUGGCCCCUAUCUUCCCUGCAAUAUUCAACACCAUUAAGGUCUCCAAGAAAAUGGCUUUUUAUGCAGCCAUGUUCUAGCUUUGGUCGGUUCAGGUUCGGGGACUUAUGAAAAGGUAUGCUAGCUAUUCAGGAUUGGAGGUCAGUGCUUCACUACAUGUGAAGGGUUGAGAGGGAUGAAUUUGGCAUAUGGGUGUUUUGUGUUUGUCUCACGAAGUUGGUGUCAUGGGUCAUGAGAGCGUAUCACCUGCUUGCAAAUGGA